rnacentral:rRNA from 1 species
UACGUAGGGUCCGAGCGUUGUCCGGAAUUAUUGGGCGUAAAGAGCUCGUAGGCGGUUUGUCGCGUCUGCUGUGAAAUCCCGAGGCUCAACCUCGGGUCUGCAGUGGGUACGGGCAGACUGGAGUGCGGUAGGGGAGAAUGGAAUUCCUGGUGUAGCGGUGGAAUGCGCAGAUGUCAGGAGGAACACCGAUGGCGAAGGCAGUUCUCUGGGCCGUAACUGACGCUGAGGAGCGAAAGCGUGGGGAGCGAACAGG